rnacentral:misc_RNA from 1 species
AACACUGUUAACCUGCGGUACCUGCGGAGGGAUCAUUACCGAGUUUACAACUCCCAAACCCCUGUGAACAUACCUAUACGUUGCCUCGGCGGAUCAGCCCGCGCCCCGUAAAAAGGGACGGCCCGCCCGAGGACCCCUAAACUCUGUUUUUAGUGGAACUUCUGAGUAAAACAAACAAAUAAAUCAAAACUUUCAGCAACGGAUCU